ACGGAGGGUGCGAGCGUUAAUCGGAAUUACUGGGCGUAAAGCGCGCGUAGGCGGUUUGUUAAGUCGGAUGUGAAAGCCCCGGGCUCAACCUGGGAAUUGCAUUCGAUACUGGCCGACUAGAGUACGAGAGAGGGAGGUAGAAUUCCACGUGUAGCGGUGAAAUGCGUAGAUAUGUGGAGGAAUACCGGUGGCGAAGGCGGCCUCCUGGCUCGAUACUGACGCUGAGGUGCGAAAGCGUGGGUAGCAAACAGG
rnacentral:rRNA from 1 species